ensembl:lncRNA
UGGCUUAAUAUAUGGAAAUAAUGAUUUUCUUUAAAUUUAAUAACUCACUGUUUUGAAAUUGCAGGUCAAAACUUUGAGAAAGAUCAAGAAAGUCAAUACAACGGACAAUAUCCUUCACCUGUUCAAAGAAGACCGUGACCUCUGGCUAAGCACAGAAGGCCACGGUACGCAGAGAAAGCAUGCAUGCAGCCCAGAAACCGAGGAGAUUCGGGCCUUGGCUUUGAAGAUUAGCAUGACAGACCAAAGGCAGCCAUCGAGGCCGGUCUUUCCAUUUCAGAAUCAAAGCCACUCUGCCACAAUGAUAGGAGCGUGCUGUUAGUAACUGCUCGCAGAGAGGCUAUCCGGAAGCUUUGGUAUGGCUCUCUUGUUGCCUGCAUGUCUGUCUCCAGUGUGGGAGAUAUUUGUGUUGGUUUGGGCUCCAAACAUUGCGUAGGAAAGUGAUUCACAGACAAAGCACAGGACAUCUCGGCCUCCUCACUGGCAACUAGAAAAGCAGCCCUGCUGAGUGAGACUUGCCGUAAUGGCUUUUGUUUCCAUGUCCGUGCUACAGCAUGUCAGGGCUAUUUCUGGCCCAGCCGUCCUCUGCAGGGGCUCGACACGUUUGGCCAGCGCAGGAGGAGGAGGGGGCAGAGCGCAGACACUGCCAGCAUGAGAACGCCUGAUAAAAUGCUUGGAGGAAGUCAGCGCUGUUUAUCUGAGCCCUGGCAUGGCUGCUCUGGCCGUUGAAAUAUGUAGCAUGGCAAAUAGCCGCAAAUAGUUGCGAGCUCUGCGGCGUGCUAUCUU